rnacentral:rRNA from 1 species
UACGAAGGGGGCUAGCGUUGUUCGGAAUCACUGGGCGUAAAGCGCACGCAGGCGGAUCGAUAAGUCGGGGGUGAAAGCCCGGGGCUCAACCUCGGAAUUGCCUUCGAUACUGUCGGUCUCGAGUCCGGGAGAGGCGAAUGGAAUUCCUAGUGUAGAGGUGAAAUUCGUAGAGAUUAGGAAGAACACCAGUGGCGAAGGCGGCUCACUGGCCCGGUACUGACGAUCAGGUGCGAAAGCGUGGGGAGCAAACAGG